rnacentral:tRNA from 1 species
CAAGAUAUAAUUUAGGAAGAAUACUAGCUUUGGGGGUUAGUAGUGGGAGUUAGAGUCUCCCUAUCUUGA